rnacentral:piRNA from 9 species
GUGCUCUGAAUGUCAAAGUGAAGAAAUU